ACCGCAGUAAGAAUAUUGCAUCAAGCACGGUGAGUAAUGGCUUCUCCUACAAUUGUUAUUUGCACCUCUUGCCACAUGUACAGUUUAUCUAUCUCUGUCGCUGAUGAGGGAUUCACAUGUGAUAAAUGCAGGGAAAUAGUUAGGCUGACAGAGAAGAUUUCAGAAUUAGAGACACGCAUCCAAACUUUAAUUGAGGACAGUAAGAAUGCUAGGGCUCUAGAUAUGGCUUUGGAUGCGUCUAGCUCAGGGACUCCUGUACAUUGUCCGGUUCCAGCAGAGCCCCUGCAGCAGGGCAACUGGGUGACGGUGAGGCAGCGUAGUCGUGGGUCAAAACACCGCUCUUCUGUUCCGAUCAAAACAUUAAACAGGUUCUCCCCACUCAGUGAUGCACCCACUGAGAAACCUGAUGAAAGUGCUCUAGUUAUUGGUGAUUCUAUUGUACGGAACGUGAAUAUAGAGACACCAGCCACCAUAGUCAAAUGUUUACCGGGAGCCAGAGCGUCUGACAUCUUGGCAAAUUUAAAAGUGCUGGCUAAUGCUAAACGUAAAUACAGUAAGAUUGUUAUUCAUGCCGGCGCUAAUGAUGUUCGACUUCGCCAGUCGGAGAUCACUAAAAAUAACUUUAAAGAGGUGUGUGAACUUGCAAGCACGAUGUCAGACACUGUAAUAUGCUCUGGUCCCCUCCCUGCUUACCGUGGUGAUGAGAUGCAUAGCAGAUUGUCAUCACUCAAUGGCUGGAUGUCUAAGUGGUGCCCACAGAAUAACAUAGGUUAUAUAGACAAUUGGACGAGCUUUUGGGGCAGACCUGACCUGUUUAAAAGAGAUGGUCUUCAUCCCUCCUGGGGUGGCGCCACUCUUCUGUCUAGAAAUAUGGCAAAUAGUCUUAGUGUUUAUACUUGACUAACUGUGGCCCAGGUCAGGAAGCAGACAGACUGGCUAAACCGACCGUCUGCUAGCUGCCUCACGUCACAGAGGUCAGUUAAUUCUCAGCACAUAGAGACUCUUUCACCUAGUUAUCACACUAUAGAGACUGUGUCUGUUCCACGAACUAGAAAAUACAAAAAACGUCCAAACCAAGUUAAGGUUAACAAUUUAAUUGAGGUUCAACAAAUAAAAAACAAAUGCAAUAUGGAUAAACAAAUGAUAAAGAUUGGCUUAUUGAAUAUCAGAUCCAUUUCUACGAAAACACUUUUUGUAAAUAAUAUGAUAACUGAUCAUAAUAUAGAUGUGCUCUGCUUGACAGAAACCUGGCUAAAACCUGAUGAUUACAUUAUUUUAAAUGAGUCCACCCCCCAAGAUUAUUGUUAUAAACACGAGCCGCGUCUAAAAAGCAAAGGGGGAGGUGUUGCUUCAAUUUAUAAUAACGUUUUCAGGAUUUCUCAGAGGGCAGGCUUCAAGUAUAACUCGUUUGAAGUAAUGGUGCUUCAUAUAACAUUAUCCAGAGAAACCAAUGUUAAUGAUAAAUCCCCUGUUAUGUUUGUACUGGCUACUGUAUACAGGCCACCAGGGCACCAUACAGACUUUAUUAAAGAGUUUGGUGAUUUUACAUCCGAGUUAGUUCUGGCUGCAGAUAAAGUCUUAAUAGUUGGUGAUUUUAAUAUCCAUGUCGAUAAUGAAAAAGAUGUAUUGGGAUCAGCAUUUAUAGACAUUCUGAACUCUAUUGGUGUUAGACAACACGUUUCAGGACCUACUCAUUGUCGAAAUCAUACUCUAGAUUUAAUACUGUCACAUGGAAUUGAUGUUGAUAGUGUUGAAAUUAUUCAGCCAAGUGAUGAUAUCUCAGAUCAUUAUUUAGUUCUUUGUAAACUUCAUAUAGCCAAAAUUGUAAAUUCUACUUCUUGUUACAAGUAUCGAAGAACCAUCACUUCUACCACAAAAGACAGCUUUUUAAGUUAUCUUCCUGAUGUAUCCGAAUUACUUAGCAUAUCCAAAACCUCAGAACAACUUGAUGAUGUAACAGAAACUAUGGACUCUCUCUUUUCUAGCACUUUAAAUACAGUUGCUCCUUUACGCUUAAGAAAGGUUAAGGAAAACAGUUUGACACCAUGGUAUAAUGAGCAUACUCGCACCCUAAAGAGAGCAGCCCGAAAAAUGGAGCGCAGCUGGAGGAAAACAAAACUAGAGGUAUUUCGUAUUGCUUGGCGGGAAAGUAGCAUAUCCUACCGAAAAGCAUUAAAAACUGCUAGAUCUGAUUACUUUUCUUCUCUUUUAGAAGAAAACAAACAUAACCCCAGGUAUUUAUUCAAUACAGUGGCUAAAUUAACGAAAAAUAAAGCCUCAACAAGUGUUGACAUUUCCCAACAGCACAGCAGUAAUGACUUUAUGAACUACUUUACUUCUAAAAUCGAUACUAUUAGAGAUAAAAUUGCAACCAUUCAGCCGUCAGCUACAGUUUCGCAUCAGACAGUGCACUAUAGACCCCCUGAGGAACAGUUCCACUCAUUCUCUACUAUAGGAGAGGAAGAAUUGUAUAAACUUGUUAAAUCAUCUAAACUUACAACAUGUAUGUUAGACCCUAUACCAUCUAAGCUCUUAAAAGAGGUGCUUCCAGAAGUCAUAGGUCCUCUUCUGACUAUUAUUAAUUCCUCAUUGUUAUUAGGACAUGUCCCCAAAACCUUCAAACUGGCUGUUAUUAAGCCUCUCAUAAAAAAGCCACAACUUGACCCCAGAGAACUAGUUAAUUAUAGACCAAUCUCGAAUCUCCCUUUUCUGUCCAAGAUACUAGAAAAGGUGGUAUCCUCAUAAUUAUAUUCCUUCUUAGAGAAAAUGGUAUAUGUGAGGAUUUCCAGUCAGGAUUUAGACCGUAUCAUAGUACUGAGACUGCUCUCCUUAGAGUUACAAAUGAUCUGCUCUUAUCAUCUGAUCGUGGGUGUAUCUCUCUCUUAGUUUUAUUGGAUCUUAGUGCUGCGUUUGACACAAUUGACCACAGCAUUCUUUUGCAUAGACUUGAACACUUUGUUGGCAUCAGUGGAAGUGCAUUAGCAUGGUUUAAAUCGUACUUAUAUGACCGCCAUCAGUUCAUAGCAGUGAAUGAAGAUGUAUCUUAACGAUCACAAGUGCAGUAUGGAGUACCUCGAGGCUCAGUACUAGGGCCGCUACUCUUCACGCUUUAUAUGUUACCCUUGGGAGAUAUCAUCAGGAAACAUGGUGUUAGCUUUCAAUGUUAUGCUAUGAUACUCGGCUCUAUAUUUCUUUGCGGCCCGGUGAAACACACCAAUUUGAAAAACUAAUGUAAUGCAUAGUCAAUAUAAAAAAAUGGAUGACAAGUAAUUUCUUACUGCUAAAUUCAGAAAAAACAGAGGUGUUAAUUAUACGACCUAAAAACUCUGCUUGAAAUAACCUAGAACACUGUCUAAGACUUGAUGUCAUGUUCGGUGAUACAAGAAACACAGGAGAGAUCCAAGUGCAGGUAAGAGGUUUAUUGAGGGGCAAUCCAAAAGGGGUAAACAGUCCAGGCAGGGUCAAAACCAGGAUAUCCAAUAAACAUAACAAACAAAAACAAGAACACACGGCAAGAGCAGACUCAGGAAAGUAUCACACAUAAGACAAGGACUCCGUGACACAGACUCAGACAGACCGGGUAUAAAUACACAGAAGGAUAAUGAGGGAACUGGAGACAGGUGGGGAACAAUCAAUUAACUAAAGCAAGGAGGAAGGUGACCAAAUAAGGGAACAGGAAGUGAUAAGGUGACAGACACCGUGGGAACGGAGGACACCUAGUGGAAACCCAGGGAACACAACCCAGACACUGUGACAGAACCCCCCCCCCCCCCUCUACGGAGCGGCUCCCAGACGCUCCACGAUAGACAAAACAGAGACCAGGAGGGAGGCGGACAGGUGGAGGCUCAGGGGGAGGGACGGAGGGCCAGAAAAUAAAAACAUGGGGAACAGGUACCAGAAUGAAAACACAACACAGGGAGACCAGGAGGGAGGAGGACCGGAGGAGGUUCAGGGGGAGGGACGGAGGGCCAGACUAACAGAGGGGAACAGGGACAGGAGUGAACACACAAAACAAAAAACAAACAAUAACAUGAAGCCCCCACAGGGCGGAGCAGAAGACCACCAUGUCCGUGUGGUCAGAGCGGAAGCCCCACAGGGCAGAGCAGAAGACCACCACGUCCUUGUGGUUGAUGCCAGGGUCCCCCAGGGCGGAGCGGAAGACCACCACAUCCUUGUGGUCGACGUCGGAGUCCCCCAGGGCGGAGCAGAAGAUCACCACAACCGUGUGGUCCAGGCGGAAGCCUCCCAGGGCAGAGCAGACGACCACCACCUCCUCGUGGUCGAUGCCAGAGUCCACCAGGGCGGAGCGGAAGACCACCACUGCCUUGUGGUCAAGGUGGAAGCCCUCCAGGGCGGAUCAGACCUCCGUGCGGCCGGACCAGCGGAAUGACGAAGCUCUGGUAAUCCUCUGGUGUUCUUACUGGACUCCAGAAGAUCGGUGUUGGCCUGACUCCUUUCGCGAAGAUCAUUGGUGACUGGCACUUGUUUAUGAAGAUCCCCGGUGACUUGACUCAGUCCUUGACAAUCACCGGUGACUUGACUCUGAAAGGUCAACGGUGACCAGCCUUGUCUCUGGAAAGUCCAUGGUACCUAGCCCUGACUCUGGAAGGUCAGCGGUGACUAUUCCUGACUCUGGAAGGUCAGCGGUGACUAGCCCUGACUCUGAAGGGUCCACAAACACCUGACUCGACUCUGGAGAGUUCACUGUAACCUGACUCGACUCUGGAGGGUCAACUGGAACCUGACUUGACUCUAGAGAGUUCACUGGAACCUGACUCGACUCUAGAGAGUUCACUGGAACCUGACUCGACUCUAGAGAGUUCACUGGAACCUGACUCGACUCUGGAGGGUCCACUGGAACCUGACUCGACUCUGGACUGCCUGUGGAGAUGUGAGGUGCCUAGGCUUCGGGCACCGCCUCUGGAACGGCCUCGGGCACCGCCUCGGGCUCGGGCACCGCCUCAGGAAUGGCAUCGGGCACCGCCUCGGCCUCUGGAACAGCAUCGGGCACCGCCUCGGCCUCCGGAACAGCAUCGGGCACCGCCUCGGCCUCCGGAACAGCAUCGGGCACCACCUCGGCCUCUGGAACAGCAUCGGGCACUGCCUCGGCACCGGCCACCACCUCGGCCUCCGGAACAGCCUCGGGCACCGCCUCGGCCUCCAGAACAGCAUCGGGCACCGCCUCGGCCUCCGGAACAGCAUCGGGCACUGCCUUGGCCUCCGGAACAGCAUCGGGCACUGCCUUGGCCUCCGGAACAGCAUCGGGCACUGCCUCGGCAUCGGGCACCACCUUGGCCUCCGGAACAGCAUCGGGCACCGCCUCGGGGACGGCAGCGGCCCGGUCAUCUUGUGCUGUGGCUCUGAGCUGGCGGCCAUCUUGUGCUGUGGCUCUGGACCGGUGGCCACCUUGGGCAUCGGCGCUGGGUUAGCGGUCAUCUUGUGCUGUGGUGCUGGGCUGGCGACCACCCGGUGCUGUGGCGCUGGGCUGGCGGCCAUCUUGGGCUGUGGCGCUGGCUCAGCAGCCAUGACGUGAACCGUCUUGGGAAUCUCUAGGAUCUUUGACGGCAUCUUGAAGUAAUCGAGAAAUGUGUCAGCGGCCAUCUUGGGUGUUGGCGCUGAGCUGGCAGCCAUCUUGCACUGUGGUGUGAGGCUGGCUUACAUCUUGCCUCGUGGUGUGGGGUUGGUGGCCAUGCACCGCAGCGGCACUGGGUUGGCGGCCAUCUUGUGCUGUGGCGCUGGACCUGCGGCCAUCAUGGGCAGUGGAGCUGGCUUUCUCCUUCUGCCCGGGUGAGACGGCUGCUCUGGUCCCUCCCACAUGAGGCCCGAGUUGAAGGGGGGCCAUGGUGGAGAGCGAUGCUGAGCUUCCUCUCGCCCACCUCCUCCUCGGCGACCUCCCCUGGUCCCGCGAAACACGACCAGGUGGGUUCCCUCAAACCGAUUGUUUCUCUUCCGCUCGGUGGCUGGGGAAGAAGCGUUAAUCGGCAUACUGCCGGAUCUCAAGGUUGACGGAGUCAUUCUGUCACAUUCGGUGAUACAAGAAACACAGGAGAGAUCCAAAUGCAGGUAAGAGGUUUAUUGAGGGGCAAUCCAAAAGGGGUAAACAGUCCAGGCAGGGUCAAAACCAGGAUAUCCAAUAAACAUAACAAACAAAAACAAGAACACACAGCAAGAGCAGACUCAGGAAAGUAUCACACAUAAGACAAGGACUCUGUGACACAGACUCAGACAGACCGGGUAUAAAUACACAGAAGGAUAAUGAGGGAACUGGAGACAGGUGGGUAACAAUCAAUUAACUAAAACAAGGAGGAAGGUGACCAAAUAAGGGAACAGGAAGUGAUAAGGUGACAGACACCGUGGGAACGGAGGACACCUAGUGGAAACCCAGGGAACACAACCCAGACACUGUGACACUUGAUGGUUGCUCUGUCAAUUCUUCGUCAUCAGUUAGGAACCUAGGUGUGCUACUUGAUCGCAAUCUUUCCUUAGAAAGCCACGUUUCUAGCAUUUGUAAAACUGCAUUUUUCCAUCUCAAAAAUAUAUCUAAAUUACGGCCUAUGCUCUCAAUGUCAAAUGCAGAAAUGUUAAUCCAUGCAUUUAUGACUUCAAGGUUAGAUUAUUGUAAUGCUUUAUUGGGUGGUUGUUCUGCACGCUUAGUAAACAAACUACAGCUAGUCCAAAAUGCAGCAGCAAGAGUUCUUACUAGAACCAAGAAGUAUGACCAUAUUAGCCCGGUCCUGUCCACACUGCACUGGCUCCCUAUCAAACAUCGUAUAGAUUUUAAAAUAUUGCUUAUUACUUAU